rnacentral:rRNA from 1 species
UACGGAGGGUGCAAGCGUUAUCCGGAUUUACUGGGUUUAAAGGGUGUGUAGGCGGACUUUUAAGUCCGUGGUGAAAUCUCCGGGCUCAACCCGGAAACUGCCAUGGAUACUAUUGGUCUUGAAUAUUGUUGAGGUGGGCGGAACGGGUCAUGUAGCGGUGAAAUGCAUAGAUAUGACCCGGAACACCGAUUGCGAAGGCAGCCCACUAAGCAAUGAUUGACGCUGAGGCACGAAAGCGUGGGGAGCAAACAGGG